AGGUGAACCUGCGGAAGGAUCAUUAUUGAAAUAAAUCUGAUGAGUUGCUGCUGGUUCUCUAGGGAGCAUGUGCACGCUUGUCAUCUUUAUAUCUCCACCUGUGCACCUUUUGUAGACUUGGAUCUCUCUCUGAAUGCUAGCCAUUCAGGAUUGAGGAUUUGACUUUACGUCUCUUCUUCCAUUUCCAGGCCUAUGUUUCUUCAUAUACCCCAAUGUAUGUCGUAGAAUGUUAUCAGUGGCCUUUGUGCCCAUAAACCUAUACAACUUUCAGCAACGGAUCUCUUGGCUCUCGCAUCGAUGAAGAACGCAGCGAAAUGCGAUAAGUAAUGUGAAUUGCAGAAUUCAGUGAAUCAUCGAAUCUUUGAACGCACCUUGCGCUCCUUGGUAUUCCGAGGAGCAUGCCUGUUUGAGUGUCAUUAAUAUAUCAACCUCUUCAGCUUUUGCUUGUUGAGUGUUGGAUGUGGGGGUCAUUUUUUGCAGGUCUUCUCAGAUCAGCUCCCCUGAAAUACAUUAGCGGAACAAUUUGUGGACCGUUCAUUGGUGUGAUAACUAUCUACGCUAUUGACGUGAAGCAGUUCAGCUUCUAACAGUCCAUUGACUUGGACAAAAUUUUUAUUAAUG
rnacentral:rRNA from 1 species